CCAGCCUGCCAGUGAAAAUUCAACGGCCGCGGUAUCCUAACCGUGCGAAGGUAGCAUAAUCACUUGUUCUUUAAAUAGGGACUAGUAUCAAUGGCAUCACGAGGGUUGCACUGUCUCCUUUUUCUAAUCAGUGAAACUGAUCUCCUCGUGAAGAAGCGAGGAUAAAAAUAUAAGACGAGAAGACCCCAUGGAGCUUCAAACCCUCAGCAACUUACUUACUUACAUCCUCUUAAUUAUAAAGCUAUGCUUACCGGUUUUAGGUUGGGGUGACCGCGGAGUAAAAAUCAACCUCCAUAGCGAAAAGAACUAAAUCUUUAUCUAAGAGCCACACCUCUAAGAAUUAGAACACUAACGUUUAAUGACCCGACAAACGAUCAACGGACCAAGUUACCCUGGGGAUAACAGCGCAAUCUACUUCUAGAGCCCAUAUCAACAAGUAGGCUUACGACCUCGAUGUUGGAUCAGGGUAUCCCAGUGGUGCAGCCGCUACUGAUGGUU
rnacentral:rRNA from 1 species